rnacentral:rRNA from 1 species
UACGGGGGGGGCAAGCGUUGUUCGGAAUUACUGGGCGUAAAGGGCUCGUAGGCGGCCAACUAAGUCAGACGUGAAAUCCCUCGGCUUAACCGGGGAACUGCGUCUGAUACUGGAUGGCUUGAGUUUGGGAGAGGGAUGCGGAAUUCCAGGUGUAGCGGUGAAAUGCGUAGAUAUCUGGAGGAACACCGGUGGCGAAAGCGGGUCUCUGGGCCGUAACUGACGCUGAGGAGCGAAAGCGUGGGGAGCGAACAGG